rnacentral:rRNA from 1 species
AACGAACGCUGGCGGCAGGCCUAACACAUGCAAGUCGAACGAUGCAGCAAUGCAGAGUGGCGCACGGGUGCGUAACGCGUGGGAAUAUCCCCUUGAGUGCGGAACAACGUCGGGAAACUGACGCUAAUACCGCAUAAUGUCUUCGGACCAAAGGUUUAUCGCUCAAGGAUUAGCCCGGGUCUGAUUAGCUAGUUGGUGAGGUAACGGCUCACCAAGGCGACGAUCAGUAGCUGGUCUGAGAGGAUGAUCAGCCACACUGGGACUGAGACACGGCCCAGACUCCUACGGGAGGCAGCAGUGAGGAAUAUUGGACAAUGGUGGUAACCCUGAUCCAGCCAUGCCGCGUGAGUGAUGAAGGCCUUCGGGUUGUAAAGCUCUUUUAGUCGUGACGAUGAUGACGGUUGCGACAGAAAAUGCCCCGGCUAAAUUCGUGCCAGCAGCCGCAGUAA